GCGGGCACUAAAGUGCCCCCCUCCUACAGUGUGUGUCACUAAAUGUUAGUGCUUGCUGCGUUCACUACUGUGAUGGGUUCAAAGCAAAGCACAUUCCAAAAAGCUGGGACAGGUGGCAAAAAAGACUGUGAAAGUUGAGGAAUGCUCAUCAGCAUCAGGAAUGCUGACCCAGUUGGAAGACCAACUCGAGCAAUGGAUUAAUGAGCAAAGAAUAACUCGGGGCUUUCCAUCAUUCCGGGAGGCUUGACGAACCGCUGGACAUCGGUGUGAACAGGGCGUUCAAAGUGAAGUUGAGAGCGGCGUGGAAGCGAUAGAUGACAGAUGGCGAACACAGCUUUACUAAGAAUCGGAGGCAGCGCCAGGCGAGUUACGCCACAAUUUGUGAAUGGAUUGUGGAUGCUGGGCUAAUGUGUCUGCUUGCACUGUUGUUUGAGCUUUCGCACGGCAACGAGACUGACUCGAACCUGGCGUGUUUGAUUGAGAACUUGCCCAGCUGUUCAUUUUGGACACAGAACACGAGGACUUUGAUGGAUUUGUGGAUGAGGAUUGAUAAAAAAAUAAUAAACUUUGUUCUGUUGGACUGAUCGACUCUGAUUCUCAAUAAUAUUCAAUUAUAAUAUUAAGAAACCACGGCGGAAGCUUAAAAACUUCAUCUUCCAUUCUUUUUGACCUAACAGCCGAACAGGACCAAAAAAAAAAAAAAAAGGUAAGGAGCACAGGAUGAUCAUACACAGCUGGGUUGCACUACAUUGACUCCAGAAAAGCAAGAACGACGACGUCGCUCUCUUUGUACAUACUGCGGACAAGAGGGUCACUUUGUCUCAAAGUGUCCAGUAAACGCCAAGUCUCACCCAGAGCGGGGAAGCUUUCGUGAGCCACAAUCGACGUCCUUCUUCCCAACUGAGACCUCUUUUCCAUGCAGUGGAUGAACUGUAAACAAAAGCAUCUUUUCUGCUUGAAAGGUGCAUCUACCUGUUCUAAUUUACUUCAAUUUUAGGCUUAAUUGGCCUGUUCAGUGUUACUUGAAAUUUAGACCUGAGAUGCCUUUACUGCUUUACUUCAAAUGUUUGCCAGCCUUUCUUUUUUUCAGUUGCAGGCCACAAAAUACAAUUUGUACUAAAAUGUAGGCCUGACAUGUUUGUGCCAGUUUACUGGAUGUAAGUUAUUACUGUUCUUUGUAUUUAAAUGUUUGCUGUUUAUAUGUGUGUUUAAAAAAAGCACUUUGCAUUUCUGUGCUUUUAGGAAUACAUUUAGUCAUGUUUAUGCAUUGUUGUCCUUGAGUGAGAUUAAAUUAG